rnacentral:snRNA from 1 species
UUGCUUCUCAGCCUUUUGGCCAAGAUCAAGUGUAGUA